rnacentral:rRNA from 1 species
UACAGAGGGGGCAAGCGUUAUUCGGAAUUAUUGGGCGUAAAGCGUGCGCAGGCGGUUUUGUAAGACAGGUGUGAAAUCCCCGGGCUUAACCUGGGAACUGCAUUUGUGACUGCAAGGCUAGAGUGUAGCAGAGGGGGGUAGAAUUCCACGUGUAGCAGUGAAAUGCGUAGAUAUGUGGAGGAAUACCGAUGGCGAAGGCAGCCCCCUGGGCUAACACUGACGCUCAUGCACGAAAGCGUGGGGAGCAAACAGG